rnacentral:rRNA from 1 species
UACGUAGGGUGCGAGCGUUGUCCGGAAUUACUGGGCGUAAAGAGCUCGUAGGUGGUUUGUCGCGUUGUUCGUGAAAACUCACAACUCAAUUGUGGGCGUGCGGGCGAUACGGGCAGACUGGAGUACUGCAGGGGAGACUGGAAUUCCUGGUGUAGCGGUGGAAUGCGCAGAUAUCAGGAGGAACACCGGUGGCGAAGGCGGGUCUCUGGGCAGUAACUGACGCUGAGAGCGAAAGCGUGGGGAGCAAACAGG